UGUGCUGGUCGGAAUUGUAGCCUCGGUUGGGUUAUAGUAAUAAAUAGAUUAUGGUUGGGUUGGGUUUAGUAAUAAAUUGAUAAGAAAGGUUUAGUAAUAAAUAUAUUAUGGUUGGGUGAUAUGAAUGGUGAUAGUUGCUUCUCUUCCGGCUUCUCUUCUAUAAAAUACUUUCUUCUUCUCCUUUCUUUUGUAAAACACUUUCAUCUUCUUUCCGGCUUCUCUCCUCUCUUCUAUAAAACACUCUCUUGACACACUCGGAUAUGGAUUCUAAUUCAUAUAGUCGAGGUCAAACUUUGUUGACCUUCUCCACAGUCAGCAAGACACUGUCUUUGGUUUUGUUCUAGACAGUGUCGAACAAUUCCAUGUGUUUGGAACUCAAGCUUCUCCCAUCCCAAGUGAAGAACCUGUCGAAGAGCGUAGG
rnacentral:lncRNA from 1 species